GUUUGUAUAGAUUAAGAAAAUCGUAAAGCUGUUAACUUUAAAAUGUCGUUUAGGCUAUAAACU
rnacentral:tRNA from 1 species